ACUUAAAUAAUUUAAAUAAAAUAAAAUAUUGAUUUGUGGUGUCAAAAAUGUGAAAUUAGUAGUCAUUUUAAGUU
rnacentral:tRNA from 1 species